AGCGGCAAAAGCUCAAAUUUGAAAUCUGGCACUUUCAGUGUCCGAGUUGUAAUUUGAAGAAGGUAUCUUUGGGUCUGGCUCUUGUCUAUGUUUCUUGGAACAGAACGUCACAGAGGGUGAGAAUCCCGUGCGAUGAGAUGUCCCAGACCUAUGUAAAGUUCCUUCGAAGAGUCGAGUUGUUUGGGAAUGCAGCUCUAAGUGGGUGGUAAAUUCCAUCUAAAGCUAAAUAUUGGCGAGAGACCGAUAGCGAACAAGUACAGUGAUGGAAAGAUGAAAAGAACUUUGAAAAGAGAGUGAAAAAGUACGUGAAAUUGUUGAAAGGGAAGGGCUUGAGAUCAGACUUGGUAUUUUGUAUGUUACUCUCUCGGGGGUGGCCUCUACAGUUUACCGGGCCAGCAUCAGUUUGAGCGGUAGGAUAAGUGCAAAGAAAUGUGGCACUGCUUCGGUAGUGUGUUAUAGUCUUUGUCGAUACUGCCAGCUUAGACUGAGGACUGCGGCUUCGGCCUAGGAUGUUGGCAUAAUGAUCUUAAGUCGCCCGUCUUGAA
rnacentral:rRNA from 1 species